rnacentral:tRNA from 1 species
GCUCAGUUGCCUGAGGGUCUGACUGCUGCUCAGGUCAUGAUCUCAGUUUGUGGGUUCAAGUCCCGCAUUGGGCU